UUCGCAAUGCCCGAAAGGGUGACGAAGCGACGCCGCGUGUGGGAAGAAGGCCUUCGGGUUGUAAACCACUGUCGGGAGUUAAGAAAUGCAAGAAUGUUAAUAGCGUUUUUGCUUGACUAAGGCUCCGGAGGAAGCCACGGCUAACUCUGUGCCAGCAGCCGCGGUAAUACAGAGGCGGCAAGCGUUGUUCGGAAUUAUUGGGCGUAAAGAGCACGUAGGCGGCUAUAUAAGCCGGUUGUGAAAGCCUUCCGCUCAACGGGAGAACAGCAUCCGAUACUGUAUGGCUUGAGUGUGGGAGGGGAGAGCGGAACUUCUGGUGGAGCGGUGAAAUGCGUAGAUAUCAGAAGGAACGCCGGCGGCGAAAGCGGCUCUCUGGCCCAUAACUGACGCUGAGUGUGCGAAAGCUAGGGGAGCAAACGGGAUUAGAUACCCCGGUAGUCCUAGCCGUAAACGAUGGGCACUAAGUAGAGGGGUUUU
rnacentral:rRNA from 1 species